UUUCGGUAAGUUGUUAAGGGCAUAUGGUGGAUGCCUUGGCACAGAGAGGCGAUGAAGGACGCGACUACCGGCGAUACUCCUCGGUGAGCUGGAAAUGAGCUUUGACCCGGGGGUUUCCGAAUGGGGUAACCCGGUCCCGGUCAUGCGGGAUCAUUCCGAAAGGAAAGCGAACCCAGGGAAGUGAAACAUCUCAGUACCUGGAGGAAAAGAAAUCGAAUGAGAUUCCCUUAGUAGAGGCGAUCGAAAUGGGAAGAGCCCAAACCUAAGUUUUCAUACUUAGGGGUUGUAGGACCUCAAUACAAUUGUCUUAAAAGAUAGCUGAAUGGUUUUGGAAAAGCCAAUCGUAGAAGGUGAUAAUCCUGUAAGCGAAAUUUUUUAAGCAAUUAGAGGUAUCCUGAGUAGCGCGAAACAAGUGAAAUUUUGCGUGAAUCUGCCCAGACCACUGGGUAAGGCUAAAUACUCCUCUGUGACCGAUAGUGAACCAGUACCGUGAGGGAAAGGUGAAAAGAACCCUUUAGAAGGGAGUGAAAAGAACCUGAAACCAUGUGCCUACAAACGGUUGGAGCAAGGUUUUUUGAUUUAUCAAAAAGCUGAGUGACAGCGUGCCUUUUGCUUAAUGAGCCAACGAGUUGCUCGUUGCAUGCGAGGGUAAGAUUCUAAGAAUCGCACCCGUAGCGAAAGCGAGUCUGAAUAGGGCGAUUAGUUUGUAGCGGCAGACGCGAAACCGGGUGAUCUAUCCAUGACCAGGAUGAAGCGUAGGUAACACUACGUGGAGGUCCGAACCAGUGUGGGUUGAAAACCGCUUGGAUGAGUUGUGGAUAGGGGUGAAAGGCCAAUCAAACUCGGUAAUAGCUCGUACUCCCCGAAAUGUUUUUUGGAACAGCCUCGUAAUAAGUGUACCGGAGGUAGGGCUCUGAUAGGGCUAGGGCCGUUACAGCGGUACCAACCCCUGAUAAACUACAAAUUCCGACUACAUAAUUUACGGGAGUGAGGCGGCGAGGGAUAAGCUUCGUUGCCGAGAGGGAAAGAACCCAGAUCAUCGUCUAAGGUCCCUAAGUAAACGCUAACAGAGAAAGGAUGUUGUUUUGCUGAGACAGCCAGGAUGUUGGCUUAGAAGCAGCCAUUCAUUUAAAGAGUGCGUAAUAGCUCACUGGUCGAGCGACGCAGCGCCUAUAAUUUCCGGGACUAAGCGUUUCACCGAAGGCAUGGGUCUCAAGCAAUUGAGGCGGUAGGGGAGCAUUCCGUAAGCGUCGAAGGUACAAUGUGAGUUGUGCUGGAGCAUACGGAAGAGCAAAUGUUGGCAUAAGUAACGAUAACUAAAGUGAGAAUCUUUAGCGCCGAAAGUCUAAGGUUUCCUUGAGCUCUGUUCGUCAGCUCAGGGUUAGUCGGCCCCUAAGGCGAGGCCGAGAGGCGUAGUCGAUGGGAAGCAGGCAAAUUUAAAAAUAUUCCUGCACCACCAAAGGUGUUAAAUACAGGGACGCAGAAGCGUAGUCGUAUCGGGUUAAUGGCUAUCCCGGUACGGUGAAACACACUGCCGAGAAAAGCUGUAUGUAUUACCGCGGUGACCGUACCGCAAACCGACACAGGUAGACGGGUUGAAUAUACUCAGGCGCGCGAGUGAGUCGCGGUUAAGGAACUCGGCAAAUUAACCCCGUAACUUAGGGAGAAGGGGUGCUCCGAGAAAUCGGAGCCGCAGAGAAAUGACCCAGGCGACUGUUUAACAAAAACACAGCACCCUGCUAACUCGUAAAGAGGAAGUAUAGAGUGUGACACCUGCCCGGUGCCGGAAGGUUAAAAGGAGAGGUUAUCCUUCGGGAGAAGCUUUGAAUUGAAGCCCCGUAAACGGCGGCCGUAACUAUAACGGUCCUAAGGUAGCGAAAUUCCUUGUCGGGUAAGUUCCGACCUGCACGAAUGGUGUAACGAUCUGGGUACUGUCUCAACCGCGAGCUCGGUGAAAUUGUGGUACCGGUGAAGACGCCGGUUACCCGCACAUGGACGGAAAGACCCCGUGCACCUUUACUGCAACUUACUAUUGAGUUCGACUAUAUCAUGCGUAGGAUAGGUGGGAGGCUUUGAAGCAGGUCUUGUGGGAUCUGUGGAGCCACCGGUGAAAUACCACCCUUGAUAUAGCUGGAUCCUAACCCGGAGGCGUGUAACCUCGGGGACAGUGGUAGGCAGGCAGUUUGACUGGGGCGGUCGCCUCCUAAAUUGUAACGGAGGCUUACAAAGGUUACCUCAGCACGGUUGGUAAUCGUGCUAAGAGUGUAAAGGCAUAAGGUAGCUUAACUGUGAGACUUACAAGUCGAGCAGGUGCGAAAGCAGGUCUUAGUGAUCCGGCGGCACUGCGUGGAAGGGCCGUCGCUCAAAGGAUAAAAGGUACGCCGGGGAUAACAGGCUGAUCUUCCCCAAGAGUUCACAUCGACGGGGCACCUCGAUGUCGGCUCAUCGCAUCCUGGGGCUGGAGAAGGUCCCAAGGGUUUGGCUGUUCGCCAAUUAAAGCGGUACGCGAGCUGGGUUCAGAACGUCGUGAGACAGUUCGGUCCCUAUCCUGUGCGGGCGAAAGAUACUUGAGGGGACCCGCUCCUAGUACGAGAGGACCGGAGUGAACGGACCUACGGUGUAUCUGUUGUAACGCCAGUUGCAUUGCAGAGUAGCCAAGUCCGUAAAGGAUAAGUGCUGAAAGCAUCUCAAGCACGAAACCUACCCCAAGAUUAGGUAUCUCAUCUCUUUUGAGAGUAAGGAUCCAGGUAGAUGACCUGGUUGAUAGGCUUCACGUGGAAGUGCAGCGAUGUAUGUAGCGGAGAAGUACUAAUAAUCCGAGGACUUACCUAUU
rnacentral:rRNA from 1 species